rnacentral:lncRNA from 1 species
GGCCUUUGCUUCAGCUUCGGCAGCAGCUUGUGCCUCAGCUUCGGCAGCAGCAGCAGCAUCAGCCAGAGCUUUAGCUUCAGCUUCCUUUACCCUUAGAAUUUCAGCUUCCCUUGCUCUUUCUUCCUCCAGCCUUCUAGCUUCUUCUUCAGCUUCUCUUGCUAGUCUCUCUUCUUCCAGUCUUCUGGCUUCAGCUUCUCUUGCAAGUCUUUCCUGGAGUCUUGCCUCAGCAUCUCUGAUAAAGUCGUUUCUGACUUGUUCAGAGAUGUGCUUCAGUUUAAA